rnacentral:lncRNA from 1 species
GCAAGACAGAUGGGACUUUCAAAAUGAAAUGUACCUAUGACUGUUUGCUACUAUAUAUAUAAAAUGUCUCAUUUAGUCUCAUCUGUGAUUUUCCAAGAGGAAAAUGUUUCCAGGAGCCAUUUAUCUCAGUCCUGCAGGGUGAGUUCUACAGGCAUCAGAAGAAACCGCUGUACCAUUAAACUUAGUGCUGACGAAAACAGCCAUCCCUCCAGCAGAAUGGGGACCCCUCUUCAUUUCAUAAAUCUUCCCCAAAUACGCCAAAGCCAGGAACUGACUGUCUGUCACAUCAAUGGCCCAAAGUCUGGGUGCGUCAGUGCACUGUGUUCAAAGGGGAUCAAGAGUAUCUAUCUGGCAACAACUCUGGGAGCAGGGAGGCAAUUAUAACUGACAUCCAGAUGUCUGCCUGGGUGGAUGCUACUGCUCUGUAAGAAUGCCGAUGGCCUGGAGACAUUUACAACUGAGCAGUGAGUCCAUGACGUGACAGACGGAUCAACGAUGGCAUCAUAAACCAUCAGUGUGAAGCAAAAAAGUUGCCUUGACUGAUAAAGACUUCAGAAGUCAGGAGUUGCAAUGAAGUUCCUUCUCCCCACAUCCUCCAUCAGCCGCCCCGCCCCGCCCCACCUCCUCACAAACAAGCUUGUUAGUGGUUGAGGGACCAGCAGGAAAUGUUUUGACACCCAGUGCCAAACAUCAAUCCAUCACUGGAACCUUUAAUACGCUUAAGUGCUUAGAUUUUGGAGGCAAGCGGGAUUCCAACAGAAACCCCCUUGCUUGUGGAAUAUGGAGAUGUUAUCAUUUGACUCUCUACUACCUGUAUUGUUCUUCUUUCUUAAUCAGGGUAUCCUAAAAGAAGAUAUCAAGAUUCAAAUGUAAAGGAAAUUUAAUUAUGAUGAAAGCAGCACUCAACAUGAAGCUGUUUGUCUUUAUUUGUGAACGUUAGAAAAUAGAAAGUGUUCUUGCUAAAACAUAUGUGUAUAUAUGUGACUGUAUGGAAAUAUAUGUAAGUAAAUGUAUGCGAAU